rnacentral:rRNA from 1 species
CCUACGGGAGGCAGCAGUGAGGAAUAUUGGUCAAUGGACGAGAGUCUGAACCAGCCAAGUAGCGUGAAGGAUGACUGCCCUAUGGGUUGUAAACUUCUUUUAUAUGGGAAUAAAACGUUGCACGUGUGGGUUUUUGUAUGUACUUUAUGAAUAAGGAUCGGCUAACUCCGUGCCAGCAGCCGCGGUAAUACGGAGGAUCCGAGCGUUAUCCGGAUUUAUUGGGUUUAAAGGGAGCGUAGGUGGGUUGUUAAGUCAGUUGUGAAAGUUUGCGGCUCAACCGUAAAAUUGCAGUUGAUACUGGCAGUCUUGAGUACAGUAGAGGUGGGCGGAAUUCGUGGUGUAGCGGUGAAAUGCUUAGAUAUCACGAAGAACUCCGAUUGCGAAGGCAGCUCACUAAACUGCGACUGACACUGAGGCUCGAAAGUGUGGGUAUCAAACAGGAUUAGAUACCCUAGUAGUC